ensembl:lncRNA
AACUACAGAGGAUUACAUUGUAUCGGACCAACAUCCCUAUGAGUAAAACACUCAACAGCACCAAGAGCCUGCAGGUGGCAGCAAGCCUUCGCUUCUUAAGGCAUCUGUGGCAGUGAGAGUGAAAGGCGCUCCGUCCUCUGGACCCUCUGCAACCCGGUGGGCUAUACAGUCCAUGCAAUUCUCCAGGCCAGAAUACUGGAGUGGGUAGCCUUUCCCUUCUCCAGGGAUUGAACCCAGGUCUCCCACAUUGCAGGCAGGUUCUUUACCAGCUGAGCCACCAGGGAAACCCAUUUGAGGCAGACUCAUGUCCAAAAUGCCCCCAGUUUUCCACUCUUCCCAUUGGCAUCUUCCCAUUGGCACCCACCCCCUUUGCAUUUUGACUUUGUAGACCCUCCCAGUAAAAGUAGAGUCAAGUCCCACACCCGUGGGUAUGGAGGCGGAUUUGGAACUUGCUUUCAGCCAACAGAACACAACCGAAGGCCUGCAGUGUCAGUUCCCAGCCUGUUCCAUGAGAACCUUCUGGAGUUUCCUAACGUGGGUGCCCACCACUGCCCCCUGAACGUCUUCAGUGAAAAAGAUGAGACGCAGGGACAACAGCUAAGCCGCUGCCCUCUGCAGUGUGGCCUGUCUCUCCGCCGGCCCAGCCUGCUCCUGGGUGCCGCCAGCAGGCUCCGAGCCUGCCGCGGACCUGGAAAAGACCAGGAGCCCCAACAAGGAGCCGCCGCGGGGCCUCCGCCUCCCUUCCCCCCGCAGAAGCUGCACCACCUGGAGGUGCUUUAAUGCUAGAAAUGGCCUCUGAGACAGCUGCCCAGAAAGGGGGACAUUCUCAAGACGUCUUAGAGGAAACAGGAACAUGCACGAAGGAAAACCGACAAAUCAGAGAGAGAGGAAAGCAUCACUGCAAGUCAAAAAAAUAGAAUUCUGUUCUUUAAAAGUCACUGCUUAAGAUGGCAUGAUGUGCAUUUGACUUGUUAAACAGCCUGUUACGGAACCAAAACACCUGUCACCACUAUAAAUGUCUUCCGGGUGUCAGUCUCAUAUUUAGCAUUGCCUACUUACUUUCUCUAAUAGGGAAACCAUACCUUAGGUUGGAGCGAACAGCGGUCCUGGAGCAAUCACAGGGAUUUAUCUAUAAGGAUACAGCUUCCUCCCCUGAAGCUCACUUUCACAGCAAUAGAUGAUUACGGUCCAGAGGAAGUGCAAACUAAGGUGUUCAAUCUGUUAUCAUCAUCAUUUGCUGUGAAUUGAAAUGAAAACCUAUAUUCACUCACUAAACCCAGCCUUCACUCACCUGUAAAAUCUCCCUGUCAAGGAUAAGCCAAUGACCCACACCUGACACUGUUGCCAACCAGGGUUCUUGGCCUCCUUAAUCAAUAAAAAUUGAUCAGAGGCCAGAAUAGAAAUUCAGGAGAGGCUUUAUCAGGGCACCUGCUGUCUCAGGGGCACAAGAACAAGUGACGGAUUCCCUUGCUCGCUGGCUCCCUGGGCAGGGAGGUGGGGGGGUUGGUUAGCUUGCUCCUCACAUGGGGUCAAGGUAGGGGUGAGUCC